rnacentral:misc_RNA from 1 species
UGGAUGGCGUGGGUCGGCUGGCUCUUUGCUCGUGCAUCGAACYGUNGGCGCUCCAUCCGCUUCAGUCUUGCCCCAAGCGCGGCUCCCGGCUUGCGGGUGCUUGAGGUAUCCUGUUUUGCUUACCCGCGGAAAGGAAUUCGACGGUUAUGGUUUCCCCAUUCGCCUUGCGCCCUUCGAGGUGCGGGGUGGACCCGAGGCGGGCUCCGUGUUCCCCGCGUGCCGAGUGCGUUGACGCUCGGUCGCUGUGGCCCAUGGGGCUCGGCCCGUGCUCUCGGAUGCGGAAUGCUGUGUGUGGGCGUGGGGUCUCGGCCUCUGUUCGUCCCGGCUGCACGCAUUGUCCCUUGACGUGAACGACCGUCGCGCCCGUCUUGAUCGGCCRACCGAGCSCCCGUCGCGGGGUUCCGGGAGGGCGGCUCANGCGGGUGUCGGC